CCUACGGGAGGCAGCAGUCGAGAAUCAUUCACAAUGGGGGAAACCCUGAUGGUGCGACGCCGCGUGGGGGAAUGAAGGUCUUCGGAUUGUAAACCCCUGUCAUGUGGGAGCAAAUUAAAAAGAUAGUACCACAAGAGGAAGAGACGGCUAAAUCUGUGCCAGCAGCCGCGGUAAUACAGAGGUCUCAAGCGUUGUUCGGAAUCACUGGGCGUAAAGCGUGCGUAGGCUGUUUCGUAAGUCGUGUGUGAAAGGCGCGGGCUCAACCCGCGGAAGGCACAGGAUACUGCGAGACUAGAGUGAUGGAGGGGGAACCGGAAUUCUCGGUGUAGCAGUGAAAUGCGUAGAUAUCGAGAGGAACACUCGUGGCGAAGGCGGGUUCCUGGACAUUAACUGACGCUGAGGCACGAAGGCCAGGGGAGUGAAAGGGAUUAGAUACCCCUGUAGUC
rnacentral:rRNA from 1 species